GCUAGGAUGAGGGAGGGGGCUCAGGGUUGGGGCAGGAGGUUUGGGUGUGGGGCACUUACCUGGGCAGUGACCCUUUGAUGUGAGGAGUGCCGGUGGGAAUUUGGGUGUGUGUGUGU